rnacentral:rRNA from 1 species
GAUGAACGCUGGCGGCGUGCUUAACACAUGCAAGUCGAACGAUGAAGCCCAGCUUGCUGGGUGGAUUAGUGGCGGACGGGUGAGUAACACGUGAGCAACCUGCCCCUGACUCUGGGAUAAGCGCUGGAAACGGCGUCUAAUACUGGAUAUGUCCCGUCACCGCAUGGUGUGCGGGUGGAAAGAUUUUUCGGUUGGGGAUGGGCUCGCGGCCUAUCAGCUUGUUGGUGAGGUAAUGGCUCACCAAGGCGUCGACGGGUAGCCGGCCUGAGAGGGUGACCGGCCACACUGGGACUGAGACACGGCCCAGACUCCUACGGGAGGCAGCAGUGGGGAAUAUUGCACAAUGGGCGGAAGCCUGAUGCAGCAACGCCGCGUGAGGGAUGACGGCCUUCGGGUUGUAAACCUCUUUUAGCAGGGAAGAAGCGAAAGUGACGGUGCCUGCAGAAAAAGCACCGGCUAACUACGUG